rnacentral:rRNA from 1 species
UGCUCAGUAACACGUCGGUAACCUGCCCUACGGUCGGGGAUAAGCUCGGGAAACUGAGUGUGAGACCCGGUAGGGGAUGGGCACUGGAAUGUCCCUUCCCUGAAACGCAAGGCCGUAGGAUGGGCCGGCGGCGGAUUAGGCUGUUGGUGGGGUAACGGCCCACCAAACCAAUGAUCCGUACGGGCCAUGAGAGUGGGAGCCCGGAGAGGGACACUGAAAUACUGGUCCCAGCCCUACGGGGUGCAGCAGGCGCGAAACCUCCACACUGCAUGAAAAUGCGAUGGGGGGAUCCUACGUGCUCAUGUUCUACAUGGGCUUUUGCCAAGACCAGAAGCCUUGGCGAAUAAGGGGUGGGCAAGACCGGUGCCAGCCGCCGCGGUAACACCGGCGCCCCGAGUGGCACUCGCGAUUAUUGGGCCUAAAGCGUCCGUAGCCGGACGGGUAAAUCCGCUGUGAAAUUGUGCCGCUUAACGGUACGGCGCGCAGCGGACACUGCCAGUCUCGGGACCGGGAGGGGUCAGAGGUAUGCCGUGGGGACCGGUAAAAUGGGAUAAUCCACGGUAGACCACCAAUGGCGAAGGCAUCUGACCAGAACGGAUCCGACGGUGAGGGACGAAAGCCAGGGGAGCGAACCGGAUUAGAUACCCGAGUAGUCCUGGCCGUAAACGCUGUGAGCUAGGUGUGGCCUAUCCCAUGAGGAUCGGCCGUGUCGAAAUGAAGAUGCUAAGCUCACCGCCUGGGAAGUACGGUCGCAAGACUGAAACUUUAAGGAAUUGGCGGGGGAGCACUACAAGGGGUGCGGCGUGCGGUUUAAUUUAACUCAACGSAGAGAACCUCACUAGGAGCGACGGCAGGAUGAAGGACAGGCUGAAGACUUUACCCGACGAGCCGAGAGGUAGUGCAUGGCCGCCGUCAGCUCGUGCCGUAAGGUGUCCAGCUAAGUCUGGUAACGAGCGAGACCCA